rnacentral:lncRNA from 1 species
GCUGACAAUGCUGCCCAGCGCUCAGCGCAGCUUCCUGUGUUUCUGCCCAGUGCAGACCUCGUUUCCUGUUGUGAGCAGUCGUCAUGGCAACUGGAGCCCUCGGUGGGCUCCACGGGGGGCCGACAGGGGGGCAACAGGAGUGACAUCACUCGGUGGGAAGGCAAGGGGCUGGGGUCCGUCAAAGAGGGCUGCUGGAGGCCGCCUGCGGGCACAUUGCUGUGGGGUGACUCAGCCUCGAGACAGGGCAGAAUGCCUCGCAUUCUUUCGGGAGCUCAUGGGGCUCUGGUGUGGCCCACAUGGAGAGACCGGACUUCUCUGUGCCCAGCUAGGAAGGACCUAGGCUAUCCCAACGACUGGAUAUCCCAUUCCCACUUGAUCAUCAUGCACCUGGGGCUCUGGGACUGAUAGUCCUGCUCUACUGUCUGUGGUGCCAGGUUUCUGGAUUUAAGUCUUUGGUUCUCUGGCUACCCGUCUACCUACACACACCCUUGAGAAUAUUCAGAAGACGGAGCCCCACUUUGUCACCUGUCCUGGCCUCAAGCCAGAGUGGCACAUCUGCUCUCAAUAACCACCCCCCAUCUCUAUUUUGUCUGUCCCAGAAAGUUCAGUCACUGUCAAAGCCAUCCCUCCACCUUCCCCUGGUGCCUCUCGGCCGCCUGUCCUGUCUGUCUGGCCCUCUAUCUGUCUGUCUGAGACAGUAGGAGGAAAAGCCUGGAGCCUCACCCUGCUGGAUGCACGUGUCCAGUGCAUUGUUCUCUCUCCUUGGGGAAAUGUCAGUUGCAAAGCUUGGGAGUCACGGGGCGUGUGCUGGGAGUCCCUGAGGGCUGGGGAUACACGUUUGGAAAUGUAUUUAUAGAGGACAGGGUCAGAAUAGAGUGAGGAUGCUUGCUGGAAUACAUCAUGAUAAAAAAAAUACAACAGAACUGGGCGUGGUGACGCGUAUAACACUCGGGAGGCAGAGGCAGGGGUAUUGUCUUAUAGUCACUAUAGUACGUUACAAAACCUUGUGACACUGUCGCACCUGUAGUCACAGCACUCUUCCAGAGAACGCACUUGGAUUCAAUUCCCAGCAUCUACAUGGGGCCUAACUCAAGUUCCGGGGGACCUAACACCCUCUCCUGGCCUCUGUCAGCACCAGGCACACCAUACACGCAGACAAAACAUACCUGCUGUAAAAGCCCGAGGGACGUGAAGUCCAUUGUGACAUUACGUCUCCUGGAAAGGCCAGGAAAACGGCAGCCAUGAACUCUCUACAAGGCUCAGGGAUACGACCAGAAAAAGGAAGACAGUGAGGGACAUGCUAGUGUGGAAGGGGGAGAUCUCACAGGACCCCAGCAAAG